AGAUGCCUGUGCGCGAUUCUAACAACAAUACAGUAGCACAGCUUUUGCUGCUCUAGUAUUGUGCCAAUAUAACUAACGUUAAGUAUUAGUUGACUUAUUUGAUUAUUCAACAAGUAUUUAAGAAAGGGGCCCUUUCUUCACCCACACAGCGGUCCACGUUGACGUCAUUUGGCUGAAAUAACUGCGCUGGUUGUCCAGGCCUGUAACGGUAACGGGUCUAGAAAAGCGAAAGCCAGGCCACUUCUUCGAGAAAAGGGUCCACUGAGCCGAGGGUGCCAUUAAAUAACCGCUUCACCUCUCAUACAAGAGCGCGUGUGUCCUUAAAAUGAGAGGUUCGUACGGAGACAGAGACAGAGACCGUGUGCGUGACCGAGGCAGCACUCGCCUCGGGUCCAGCAGAGGCGGCCCACCACCGGGUAAAAAGUUUGGGAACCCCGGGGACCGUUUAAGGAAGAAGAGAUGGGACCUGGCGGAGCUUCCUAAAUUUGAGAAGAACUUUUACGUUGAACAUCCGGACCUGCAGCGAAUGAGCCAGGAUGACGUUGAGGAGCAUUGCAGGAAGAAAGAAAUCACUGUUCGAGGUUCAGGCUGCCCAAAGCCUGUCACCAACUUCCAUCAGGCACAGUUUCCCCAAUAUGUAUUGGAUGUCCUGAUGCAGCAGAAUUUCAAGGAGCCCACAGCCAUUCAGGCACAAGGUUUCCCUCUGGCCCUCAGUGGGAGAGACAUGGUGGGCAUUGCUCAGACUGGCUCUGGGAAGACCUUAUCGUACCUCCUGCCUUCCAUCGUGCACAUCAAUCAUCAGCCCUACCUGGAGCGUGGAGAUGGGCCCAUUGUACGUGCAGAGGAAAGGAAUGCACUAAUCCCUUAGUUGUCCACAUGAGAGUUUACAAAAAUUAUAUUGCAUGCUGUCUUAGCACAACAUCAACGUGUCUAAUGCACAAAAUGGGGUAUUGUUACGCCAUUAUGUGUGUGCUCUGCAGUGCUUGGUCCUGGCCCCCACAAGAGAACUGGCGCAGCAGGUCCAGCAGGUGGCAUGCGAUUACGUAAAGUCAUCCUGCAUCAAAAUCACCUGUGUGUAUGGGGGUGCUCCCAAGGGACCUCAAAUCAGAGACCUGGAGAGAGGUGUUGAGAUCUGCAUCGCCACACCAGGUCGUCUGAUUGACUUCCUUGAGGCUGGAAAGACCAACCUGCGACGCUGCACAUACUUGGUUCUGGAUGAAGCUGACCGCAUGCUGGAUAUGGGCUUUGAACCGCAGAUUCGCAAGAUUGUGGACCAGAUCAGGCCCGACAGGCAGACCCUGAUGUGGAGUGCUACUUGGCCCAAAGAGGUCCGCCAGCUGGCAGAGGACUUCCUGAAAGAUUAUGUCCAGAUCAAUGUCGGAGCUCUGGAACUCAGCGCCAACCACAACAUCCUUCAGAUAGUUGAUGUCUGUAUCGAGAGUGAGAAGGAACACAAGUUGAUCCAGCUGAUGGAGGAGAUCAUGGGUGAGAAAGAGAACAAGACCAUCAUCUUCGCGGAGACCAAGAAACGAUGCAACGAUCUCACACGCAGGAUGAGGCGUGAUGGGUGAAAAACGAUGAGAUCUAUUUAUUUAUUUAUAUAUUUUAGGAAUACAAUAGUGUUCUAUACAGUUUGCGUAACCAUUUUAAAUACGUCCUGUAUCUGACCCAGAAGUUUGUGGGUACAGGUGGGCACGCAUUUCCCUCUGGGGAUUGGGAAAUGUAAAACCAGUGCGAUAACGCCGGGUUAAAUCUACUGCACCUGGUCAUUUACGUCACAGCAUGCUUGUCUCUUUUCCAGGUGGCCAGCGAUGUGUAUUCAUGGCGACAAGAGCCAGCCAGAAAGAGACUGGGUGCUAUCUGAGUUCCGUAGCAGCAAAGCUCCCAUCCUCAUUGCUACUGACGUGGCCUCGCGUGGUUUGGUCUUCUCCGGCAACUAGAAGCACACAGGCCCUUGGGAGCCUGCAGCCGGACCUAGGCAUGACAAAAUGAAAGCUGACUCGGGGAGAGAGACGGCCUGAUUAAUCAGUCCCAGAGACAGCCAUCUCUGCUGAAAACCUAGAACAGAGCCCACAAACAAAACUCAUCACCCCCUUCCAGGACACUGGCUGCCUGGGCGACGGGGGGGCGGGUUUGCUGCUGGGCUUCCAAAUUUUGAUCUGAGAGUCGGGGGCGGCAGUCAGGUGAGAGGGCGGAGAGGGGGGGUAUGGAGGAGGGUGGAAGGCAAAGCCAAAGCCAGGCAUGGACGGCUAUGCUGGAGGCUCCCCUCUGAGCUGCCCCCUGAUGCCAGCCCCUGACACUGUGCCCGCCGGCCUCUCCCUCUGCGGACGUCAUGUCUGGUCCUGGCUGGCAGGAGUCCUGGUCUAGAGGAGCCACCGCUCUGUAAUCGAGGUCUCUGUCUCUGUCAUUUCCUCGCUUGGUUGUCACUUCUCUCCCUCUUUUGCUGAUUUCUUAAAUGUUUCCGUCAUUCUUUCAUUCAUCUCUUUACUCUACCUCUUUUUACCACCUAACGUCCUGAUUGUUUGUCCUGCUUUCAACCCCUCUUCGUCUUUAAGACUUCGGACAUUUAACUUUGUACACGUCAUACCGGACCACCGGUCCAGUCUGUUAAUAACUCGCCAGCUCUUGAUGACUGGCUAAAUCCCUCUAUAAGAACGAGUACAAAACCAUUUAAAAAAAAGAUUCCAACAAGAAAUUGACUUUCUCAUUGAUCAGAAAUCCCUUUAGACUACUGAAUAUGUCUUUUACACAAGGAUCGCCUGGAGGGUCACUUUUUACAAUUUCAUCUACUAUCGUCCAAAUUCUUCAGCAAACCACAAACCUUUUCAUCCCAUAAUUCAGUUGAUAUGUACCUUUGGCCACACAUGGCUUAUUUGCAUGUGUGCAAGUGCACUAAUUCAUUGCUAUGCUAGAUAAGUGAGCCCUGUGGUGUGAUUAGCGUGGUAAGUAAACUAGUUGACGAUUUAACAGGUAAGUGGGUGUAAGGAUGAUGGAUCUUGUAGGUAUUGUCUGUCUGAAUGAUCCCUUUUCAAAGGCACAAAACUUUAACUUCGUGAAUGGAGUAAAUUUCUCAACCGGUGUUAGUUUUGUCCUGACUUUGUGUUUGUGUCUUUUCCCAUCACACCACCACUUCUCCACAACUAUUGACCCAAAAUAAAGACGUGGAGGAUGUCAAAUUUGUCAUCAAUUAUGACUAUCCCAACUCAUCGGAGGACUACAUCCAUCGCAUCGGCCGUACAGCCCGCAGCAACAACAAAGGCACCGCCUACACCUUCUUCACCCCGGGGAACCUCCGCCAGGCCCGCGAGCUGAUCCGGGUGCUGGAGGAGGCCCGUCAGGCCAUCAAUCCCAAACUCCUGCAGCUGCUUGAUACUGGACGUGGAGGAGGUGGGCGUCCUCGUUUUCGCAGUGGCUCCAAUUCUAACAAUCCCAACCUGAUGUACCAGGAAGAGUGUGACGGGCGAAUGCGUUCUGUUGGUGGGAGCGGCAGCAGUGCCAAGGACGGCCGCGGCAGCAGCUACAGCCGCGACGGUCGAGAUGGCCGCAGAGGAAGCAGCCGGGACGGGGAACGCUCCUCCUCAUCUUCCUCCUCUGACAGAGAUCGCAGGGACGGAGGGCGCAGCUCCAGCUCCAACGACCAGUACCAGAAUAAUAGCAGUAGUCAGUACAGCAGCUCCAGGAGUGGCUCAGGGUCAGGGGGCACUGGAGUGGGGCAGACCCCACCCUGUUCUUUGUCGGGCCCCCAGACUCUAAUGGCCAAGCAGUUCAACCCUCCUCAGCCCAUGAUGGGCCUGAUGGGACACUCACCGUUCCAGUUUGUUUCCCCACUGCCUCCAUCAGGCAGAAAGUAAUGUAAUCUGUGAGUCGGUCGCACACACACAGUCACAAAAACAUUCGAUUUUGCAGGGGUUAAACCCUCGGCAGGGAAACACUGCAACAUAAUCAUUAGUUACGAGCUUGUUCGGGUCAAAUUCUGCAACAAAGACACAUUUAUUAUAUUCCCAGUUCAAGUGGUCAAUGUAUUCUAAGUCAAAUGAAUUAUUUAGUUUGACAGAAGCUUGUCUGUCAGUUGACUAAGUUUGUACAAACUUGCUGUAUUUGUACUGUGAGCUGACAUCUGAUUUUCCCCUUUUUAGGCAUAUACGGUAGGUGUUAAAGUAAAUUCUUGUACAGUUUCUUUUUUAGGUUCAUUCUCCUUUUUUGUUUUUAAAAUUUGCAAGCCACAAGAUCAGUUUGAAUAGAUUUAAUGAUAAUGGAGAUCCUGCUGUUGCUUGAGCAGUGAAUUUUGGCCUAAGAGGCAUAGAAAUGAACUUUUCUUUCACAUUUUCAAGUUUGUUUAGUUACAUUCUACCAUAGAUUCCCUUAUCACCAAUGUGGGUAUUUGCAGCAGUGAUGUUUGAGUUUCCUAGUAAAUACUAACCAUUUUUACGGUUUAAUAAAGCUCUUCAAUAAA